rnacentral:rRNA from 1 species
GAGCUUCGGCUCUGAAUAUCUAUGGCUAGAUAAAGUACAAGUCGUAACAAGGUUUCAGUUGGAGAACCAGCUGAAGAAUCAUU